AGCCGCACCAGCAGCACCAGCAGAAUGCCGCGGUAGUGCGGCAGGCCCUGGCCCCAUGGACAAAGAGAAACUCGUCAGUGGCAGUGGCCACGAACUCAGAAAGCCUGAGGACAGUCAGCAGCUCCUCUGGCUCUUCACUUUCACACUGGUGCAACUACAGGAGCUGAAGAAUAUUUUUCAACUUGUUCCAUACCCGGACGUGUUAGGAUCAGAUUCAUCAUUGGACUCCUGGACCUAUCACUGCGGACCUCAAAUGUGCACCUUUUAAGCCCUUUCCUUCACUCCUGACUGAUUGAUUUGGGAUCCACUGCUAAGUCAGACUUUUGAACCAUUGUUCCAGGCAAACUUCUGUUAAAGCUGUUUCAGAUGAGUUUCCAAUGUUUAUAUUCUAGUUGGACCACAAAUAACGAGUCUCAUCUCAGCACCCGAAGAUGGAGUCUCCCUCUGUCGCCCAGGCUGGAGUGCAGUGGCGCGAUCUCGGCUCACUGCAGCCUCCACCUCCUGGUUUUAUGCGAUUCUCCUGCCUCAGCCUCCCGAGUAGCUGGGACUACAGUGGCCUCAGGGAUAUGGAAUUAAGAUCCACCUGGUGUGAUGAAUAAACCCAGACUCUCAGCAACACAGGAAAAAAAAAAAACAAAAACUGGCUGGCGAUCUGGAGUAAAGGAUCCUCACAUCCAUGUGAACCAGGAAACUCUAUGCCCAAACCGACGAAAAAAAAACACUGGGAGAGCCGGUAAAGUAUUUCCUUGGUGGUGGGGACUAAGGAAAAAGCAGCAGGGUGGUAAAGCAUUCCUUGGUUAAGACAUACGGAGGAGAGAGAAACCGCAGGGGCAGUAAAGCAUUCCUUAGUCAGGACUAGGGAAAGAAAGCCACAGGGGGUGGUAAAGUAUUCCUUAGUCAGGAUGUCUUGGAGGUUAAAAAGAGGUGAGAAAUCCCCACUGGGGGGGUUAAACCUUAAAAAGAGGUAAGAAAUCUCUAUUGUGGGGGUUGAACCUCAAAAAGAGGUGAGAAAUCCCCAUUGGGGGAUUGAACCUCAAAGAGGUGAGAAAUCCCCAUUGUGGGGGUUGAAUCUCACAGAAACCUCCGGUAGUAAAUAUAUAUUCAAAACUCCCCUUUCCUCUCUUCUCAGGAAAAGAAAAAGGCUAAGCUCCACUCCCACCGGUUGCUCCCCUAGGGGAAGGGGAAGGAGGGGGGGAAAACAGCAGCAUAGGUGGCUGGCAGAGGCAAAGUCCAGCAGGGAGGAAAAAGAAACCAGGAAAGGAAGUCAGAGAGAAAGAGAGCAAAAACAGCAAGUGUGACACCAGACAGGCGCACCAAGGGUUAAGUCCCUCUCCCCAGCCCAGCUCUAUGUGAAAAAGAGUGUGGGGAACGGCACCAGGAGGAGAGCAGAGGAGGUGAAAGGGCAUAAUUAUUGCAACUUGCAGCAGGCAUCUGCCAAGCCUCUGGGCCAGUGAUGGCCCGGGGUCUGGACUGCAGCCCCACAAAUCCCACCCAGCCCAAGAAACUGAGUGUAAGAAGAAAGGAAAAAAGUAAAAAGGGAAAUUGGGAAAAGAAAAAAAAGCAGAUGAAACAGACGGCAGUGUGUGUGUGGGGGCGGGACCCAUGCCAUUGCCCGGCCUUGCCGGCCCCGCAGGAAAAAGGAAACAAGGGAUGACGGAGAGAGAGAGAAAAAAAGAGAGUGCAAAUGAGAGAGAGAAAUAGGGGGAAAGAAUAAGUAAGAGAGAAACUGGAAGAGACAGAAAUCAAAGAAAGACAGAGGGUGAAACUAGGAAAAGAAAUAGUGUAAAAGGAAGGCAGAAAGUUAAGACAUGUUGAAGAUUGUCUAUGAAAGUCGUAAGAAAGGUUAUAAAGGGAAUUUAUGCAAGAAAUAUUGUAUAAUUUAAAAGUAAUUAGGCCUCCUGAAUGUAAAACUAUUAAAAAAACAGUUUAUGUACAAAGUAUGUAAGAAAAAUAAAAUAUACUUUUAAUAAAAGGAUUAUAAGGAGGCAUAAGAAUAUGGAUUUUUACCUACAUUAAAAGGUUUAAAAAAUUUUGUUUUAAAGGUUUAAGCAAGUUUUAACAUGUUAAUUGUAAAGGAAAUUCUGUGUGUAAACAUUUUGGCUAAAGGUAAAGGGUUUAUCAUCCAGUUUUGCUGUGAACUGAACAUUAAAAUAAAACCACAAUAGUUUUUUCUUAAAGCACUAACCUGCUCUUUAACAAAAAAUUUAACAUGUUAAAAAGAGUCUAUAAAAAUCUUACCUUAUAGUCUGACAUUAAAAUUGGAUAAUGUCUACAAGAUUUUAUUAAAAUUAAGUUUAACAUUAAUAGCACAUUAAUAUAAAGGUAAAAUUUAACUUACCUGGUACAAAAUCAUACAAAAAGCAUUGUCAAAUAUAAAAUGGUGUUUAGCUUUCUUAAGGUCCGAGGGCGGCUGGGUAAGUCACAAGCUCCUCAUCCCCAAGGAUACAAUGUGCAGGGGAGAUGAAGGCCACUAGAAGGCCAAGACCUUAAGAGGGGGCAGGGCCGCAGCAUCCCCUGAGUGGUGCUGAGCAGGAAUGGAGUGGGAGGCAUCACCAUGGGGCCUCAAGCCCCAGAAUAUGCAGCAAAAAUUAUAUACUUUUUAUCUUCCACUUUCCCUUCCCUCAGAACUAAAAGUCUUUUAGCACAGGUACCAGCCCUAGAAUUUCCAGUACACCAGCAGCAGCCUGGAAACCACAUCCUCAUCAAAAGACAGAAAGAAAAAAACUCGAGCCAGCCUGGGAAGGACCCUAUUUUAUGCUGUUAACCACUGAGACUGCCAUCCUCACAGCUGAGAAAGGAUGGACCCACCUAUCAUACUGAAGUCAAGAAAACAUCUUCCUCGUCAGAAUCAUGGGUUACUGUACUAGGAUUAAGCCUUACUAACUUAAAGUUAAAGAAAGCUUAAUUUUCAUAUACCUUCUAUAUUGCUUCCUUUCCUUUCCUUAUUCUGUUACUAGCUCCUUUGUUAUUAAUGUAACUAAGUCUGAGUCACCUCAGACCAUUGCCUUUUAUGCUUGCUCUGUCAUACCUUGUGGAAAUGUAAAAGAUCAAUGACAGCUAGCCUUUUCACACAAUUAUUUAUGCCUCGGCCCUCUAAUUGACACAGUUACCCCUAGCACUCAUCGUUGUGAUCACCUGCAGCCAAGACGCUGAUUUUCUGCUCCUAUAGCCUGGCAACCUUGUAGUACAUGGGACUACGUCCUUUAAACUACCCAGAAGCAAAGUUGGACUUCCAUGAAAAAGGUUUGUGCAGAUCUAAAACCUCUCAUCUAUUUCACUAAAAGGACUGCCCCUUCUAACUGUCACCCUUACCAGUGUAACCCUGUCCUCUCUAUCACCACCUCCACCUUAACUAACUCUAGACCUGUCCUUAAUCGCUUUUAUGGUAUUGGAAUAGGAAUUAAAAGAAAUUAAAGAAUGUGUAAGGAGAAACUCAUUUGUAUGUAAGAAAACCCAAUUCCCCCUGAGAAAGAGAAAGAGUUGGAGUCCUUUAAAAAUUAACUGCCUGUUUUUCUGUGGCUAGUGAGCCUUAUCUCUCCUCCUUUCCCAGGCAUUGUGAAGACCCUGUUUCUCUAGCUGGGCAGAUGCAAGGUCACUAGACAGAUAAACUCAAGUUGUAAAACAUGUUUUUCCUUGAAAAGUAAGAAAUGCUGUAAUGCAUAUUUCAAUUAAUUAAAUAACUGUCUUUGUUUCUCACUUCUGUAAUAUGCUUCCCCCUGCACAGAUCUCCACCCACCCUACAAAAUGCUUAAAAGGUAACUUAACUCUUUGUUCUGGGCUCAGUCCUUUGGGCUGAGUACUGGGCCGUUGCACCUAAAUAAUAAAUAUCUUCCUGAACCCCA